AACAGCUGCUUUCGGUGAACGCGCGGGCAGCAGAUUUGCACAGCGCAGGGCUGUGUGAACGCGCAGGGGCAGCAGAUUCGCAUGAUCUCCUCUGCCAUGGCAUGCUUUUUGCUACGAAACUGCAGCCAUCUCGUCACUCAUUGGAGAAGGAUGAGAAGCUGCCCCCCAGCCAGAGGGACACAUCUGCCACCAAAUCCGUCGCUCACUGGAUUCUGUCAUCUCCGUCUCUGUGUCUCCCACAAUCCGUGUGUCUGUCUGCUGUAUAUGUGGACCGUCUGCUGCACUGCGUCUGUUCUGCCAUUUACUCUAACCUGUUUUUUUUUGUGUGUCCCAACUCUGACCAGCAUGUUCUCCUAUGGAACACGAAGUACCUGAAGUGGAUUGAAGAAGCCCAUGUUUGAGGCCCGCGCCCCCGGCUGGAGCAGUGAAGGGGCAUCUGACAGUCUUCCUCCUCCGUCGCAGGACACAGCGUUAGCCUCAGUCGAUCCAACAAAGAAAAAGGUAAGAUUGUUAGCUUGAAUAGUUACCUGUUGAAGACUGAAAGUGCACGUAAGGUAGUCUAAACUCUACCGUUUUGUUCUUAGACAAGUAUCUUACAUGGAGCUCUUCCUUAGUCUUCCUCCUCCUCCGUCGCAGGACACAGCGUUAGCCUCAGUCGAUCCAACAAAGAAAAAGGUAAGAUUGUUAGCUUGAAUAGUUACCCGUUGAAGACUGAAAGUGCACGUAAGGUAGUCUAAACUCUACCGCUUUGUUCUUAGACAAGUAUCUUACAUGGAGCUCUUCCUUAGUCUUCCUCCUCAGUCGCAGGACACAGCGUUAGCCUCAGUCGAUCCAACAAAGAAAAAGAAAAUGAUCUGGAGCUCUUCAUUAGUCUUCCUCCUCCGUCGCAGGACACAGCAGUUGUG